AUAGGGCCCCGUGCUGCGCCGUAUAAAAUAGCGCCCGUCGCUUGAUUUGCUGCCGGGUUAGACUUUUGUUGUUGUUUGUUGUUGUUGUGAUAUAAAUGUGUGUUGAUUUUUUCCGCUAUGCCCAGACUUUGAUCCUCAGAAGUAUUGGAUCUCUCUCUCUCUCUCUCUCUCUCUCUCUCACACACACACAUACACACCACAUGGGGGGGCGAGGAGGAAAAGGAAGGCAAAGCCUUCCUCAGACCCCCACCCCCCAAAAGUCUGACCACCUUUUCAUCAGUAAAGCUGUCACUCACUAAUCAAGAGAUCUGUACAUCAGAGGGGAUGCGGCAGGCGGGGAGAGGGCCGGAGACCCUCCUUGCAUGGAUCACCUCUUCCUUCACUGGAUGGACGAUCAAACGUGCAGGCUGUGGUACCAGAAUAUGCCCAGCACAGUUUUUGGCCAGCCAUCCUGACCUACUCUGAGGAAUUUUCAUGCAUGAGGCUUUGAAUUUGCAAGCGUGCUGUGUAUAUAAUCUUUCUCUGAAGAUCUUCUACAGUAUAGUAAUAGAGAGAGACUGAUCGGAUGAUAUGCUGCCCAAAGAAUAUCCAAAAUGCACAACAUGUAGCUUCAGCCAAUGGUGGUUAUCGAACGGUAGCUGAACUACAUUUAUAGGUUUCCCUAUUUUCUCUGUGUAACUGUGGGGCACAAGUGUCAGUGUUCUUUACCAUUGCAUGACUCCAGUGGCUCUCCUGGUUUCAGUAGUUUAUACUGGGCUUGAGCUACUGGUAAGGAUUUCAAUAUCAGCACCCCAGCAGUGCACAUAUAGGGUGGACCGGUGAGGAUUCUGGAGUACUAACUAGGCCUCCUUUGAUUGCUGAGCAGACCAACCCAGCCUCUUUAAUGCAUUCUCAUCAGCAAGGACAGAUCACAAAUAAUGGGUCGUCCCCUCACUAGCGGGAGUGGGAUGGUUGCCCCUUAAUCCACCACACUUCUGUUGGAAAAUCUGUACAACAAAAUGUCGUACAUUUCUCUUCCUAGCUCCUAGUGGAUAUUAAUUGUAUCAGGCUGAUAAUGAGAUGAGCCUCACUAACUGGAAUGCUAAGUUGCAACCAUUUUUCUUCUCAGAGAUCUGUGAGUAUGGAAGGCCAGGGUCAUGUAUAUGCACUGACAUCCUCCCUGUUCUCAGUUGUCUGGAAAAGCUGCUAGAUUGAAUUUUUGCAAAACAAUAUGCAGGAGUGACAAAGCAACAAUUCAAUAUUUAUUUCUGCUAGGCUCCUAAUAGACCCCCUGUACGUACUCUGGCGUUUUGUCUUUAUUAUACUUUCUUUGUUAGUUUAAUCUUGUUGUAGUGAAUGCUUCACCACUUUUUCCUUUCAGUGAGUGUGGAAAUAAUAAUAAUAAUAAAUGAUCAAAUUCCA